GUAAAGCACAGGAGGGACCAGACUGAUAAUAAGCAAAGUGCUCAAAUAUGGGAAGUUGGGGAAGAAGCCAAAUGAAAAUGAAAUGAAAGGCUAAGGUCCAACUUCGGCAGUUGUGUAGGAAGGAGGGGACGGCUGGUAAUAGGAACACCGGGUCAAAACCCCGCUCGGGAGGCUGGAGGAACCUGUGGGAAAGACAAGGGAGGGGGUGGGAAGGGAUUUUACCAAAAAGCGAGUCAGCAAAUUGGAUCUGCUGCUGCCACAGAGGCUUACAUGUCUCCCUGUGACCUCACGAGCUCAGAGAGCAGCAAGGGCCUCCUCGGCAGACCUUUGCAUGGGGGGAACACUUCCCACCAGCUUUCCAGCACCGAGAGCAAAGUCUGAAGCCUGUGCCUCUGCCUUUGCAGCCCUUCUCAGCCCGGGACGUCUGUGAGAGCUCAAGAGAAGAAGAGCAACUUCUGCCUGGAGAUGGCCUCCACAAAGACCUCCUGAAGGCUUCAGCUGGCCCUGCUCACCCGCUGGUGCCUCCAGAAGUAUUUCUGGCCACGUGGCAGCCUUGGAUCUGGGAUAAGAGGUUGGACUCGAUGAUCUUGAGGUCUCUUCCAACCUAGAAAUUCUGUGAUUCUGUGAUAAUGCAGAGAGGGGCUGGCAAAGUCCUUCACCUCUUUGCGUGCUGUGACACCGUGACAAAUAGACCUGAAUUGCGGUCUCCGUGGCCUUGGGAUCUCUGCUGGCUUCCCUUGCCCUGAGGACGUAUGGUUUGGGCUGCAAAAUCAGGUGUGGGACCAUCUGGUUCCAUGUGGGGUCACCCCAGCUAGAGCAUCCCUGGGUUUUAGGUUGUGGCAGAGGAGCAGGAGGUGAGGAGAUGCUGUGGGUAUAUCCUCGGCCUUGCCCUGCUGCCCCAGCAAACCCCAGCUCUUUGUGUCCCUGAGGGUCCCUUGUGGCUGGGGACAAGCUGGUGGCUGUGCUUUUGGGGUGGCUGUGCUUCAGGGGUGGCUGUGCUUCAGGG
rnacentral:lncRNA from 1 species